GUGCUCUCUUAGGCAACAAAUUUAUUAAAAUUGAAAUGAUGCAGAGAAGACUAGCUUGUCUCCUGUGCAAGGAUGACACGCAAAUUUGUGAAGUGUUCCAUAAUUAA